UAUAAAUAGAGAGGAGGCUACUACCGUUUUGAUCCCCCUUCAUCUGCAAACUUCACGUGCUUUCUUUCUCUUCAAAUUACAACUUGUGUCUUAAAAAACCUCUGUUCUUCCCCCUGUUUCAUCUCCUCACACCCAAAUUGAUUUUUUUUUUUCUCCAACUUUUUAUAUCAAAAUUAAAUUUUUAAUUUGAUAUAAUUGAAUAUAUUCAAAGAUGGCAUCAAAGAAAUCAUCAUCAUCAUCAUCAAAGAAAUCUAGUUAUAAUGGUUCUUCAUCUGGUGCUGUUCCUGCAUCUUCUUCCAUAGCUGACCUUUUUAGUCCAAAGCCUUCUGCUUCUUCACACCCACAUUCUUCUUCUUCGUCUUCUUCCUCUUCUAGCAUCUUUGGCUCCGUUUUUGGCCCUUCUUCAAUGGGAAGAGGAAGAGACUCCACAAAUGCUAAUAUAACGAGACAAUAUGCUACCUCUGGCCAAGAGAGCCAUUGGGAGAGUGGAAUGAAUUCUUAUUAUCAACAACAAACAGUUGAUCAACCUUGCAAUUUUAGCAACUCAAUCUAUUAUGGUGGCCAAGAAGUUUAUUCUCCUACUACUCGUUCUAAUGAAUAUCAUGUGUUCAAGAAAGAUGAGCAAGAUGAUGAUCCCAACAGUGCCUCAAGAGGAAAUUGGUGGCAAGGCUCACUUUAUUACUAGUAAUGGAGGCUCUUAAUAGAUGUUUAGUUACCCCUCUUAAAGUAAGUAAAGGAAUUAUAUGAAGGGGGGACUUCUGCAUCUUCUUAGCUAGCUUUAUAAAUUCUAGAAGAAGAAGAUUUAAUAUUAUAAUAUACCAUAUAAGUUCGAGAAUCGGGUCUUGUCUCGAGUACUACUUUUCAGAUUAGACCCCGAGUUCGAUUCUCACUUAGUUUUUUUUUCCUUAGUCUGCCCUGUAACAAAAAAAAUACCAUAUAAGUUGAAAAUCGAGUUUUUUCUUAAGUACUACUUUUGUGAUCAGAUUCGAGUUCGAUUCUCACUACCCCUGUAACCAAAAGAAAUACCAUAUAAGUUGAGAAUCGGGUUUCGUUUCAAGUAGUACUUUUCAGAUUAGACCCUGAAUUCGAUUUUUACUUAGUCCUCUUCGCUUAGCCUACCCUGUAGCAAAAAAAAUACCAUAUAAGUUAGUAGUCUUAGAACACAGCUUAUAUAUACCUGAAUCAAGUUGCUGGAGUAUGUUUUUUCUACCAGUUAUCUUGGAAGGCAUAGCUUAGCUUAUUAGAGCUUAUUAUAGCUUAUUAGAGCAGCUUUGUCUAACAUACAUUUAGUUUUUAGUUUGUAAUGCUUAUAGUAUGUGAUGAAUAUGAUGAAUUCUCCUCUGUAUACAGAGUUGGUAUUAUUAAUAUAUACUUUAUACCUUUAUAUUUAUUAAAUUGGUUUGUAUGAUGUUUUUGUUAUAAUGUUGAGUUGAUAGUGUAAAAAUAAGACCGCAUUGUAUCGGCUUCAUUGUAAAGGUUUUUUAAACAAAGGAACUGAUACUUUCCACGUAUUUGACCAUAUCAAGGAAUAUCUUAUGAUUUAAACCAAAAUUUCAUCGUUACGGUAACUGCAUCAAACCAGAUACUGCA